rnacentral:rRNA from 1 species
UACGAAGGGAGCUAGCGUUGUUCGGAAUAACUGGGCGUAAAGGGUGCGUAGGUGGAUGUGUGCGUUAGAUGUGAAAUCCCCGGGCUUAACCUGGGAACUGCAUUUAAUACGGCACGUCUAGAGUGCGAGAGGGGAAAGCGGAAUGGCGAGUGGAGCAGUGAAAUGCAUUGAGAUUCGCUAGAACACCAGAGGCGAAGGCGGCUUUCUGGCUCGUUACUGACACUAAGGCACGAAAGCGUGGGGAGCAAACAGG